rnacentral:piRNA from 1 species
UCACAAGGACAAGUACUUUUCUAGCUA